CCUACGGGUGGCUGCAGUGGGGAAUAUUGGACAAUGGGGGAAACCCUUAUCCAGCGACGCCGCGGGAGGGAAGAAGGUGUUCGGAGGGGAAACCGCUGUCAGUGGGGACGAGAAGGACGGUACCCACGGAGGAAGCCACGGCGAACUACGGGCCAGCAGCCGCGGUAAUACGUAGGUGGCAAGCGUUGUCCGGAAUUACUGGGUGUAAAGGGAGCGUAGGCGGGAUGUCAAGUCAGAAGGGAAAAUUAUGGGCUCCACUCAUAACCUGCUUUUGAAACUGCUAUUCUGGAGUGAAGGAGAGGCAAGCGGUCUUCCUCGUGUAGCGGUGACAUGCGUAGUUAUUAGGCG
rnacentral:rRNA from 1 species